UUAGAGUUUGAUCCUGGCUCAGGACGAACGCUGGCGGCGUGCCUAAUACAUGCAAGUCGAGCGAGCUUGCCUAGAUGAUUUUAGUGCUUGCACUAAAUGAAACUAGAUACAAGCGAGCGGCGGACGGGUGAGUAACACGUGGGUAACCUGCCCAAGAGACUGGGAUAACACCUGGAAACAGAUGCUAAUACCGGAUAACAACACUAGACGCAUGUCUAGAGUUUGAAAGAUGGUUCUGCUAUCACUCUUGGAUGGACCUGCGGUGCAUUAGCUAGUUGGUAAGGUAACGGCUUACCAAGGCAAUGAUGCAUAGCCGAGUUGAGAGACUGAUCGGCCACAUUGGGACUGAGACACGGCCCAAACUCCUACGGGAGGCAGCAGUAGGGAAUCUUCCACAAUGGACGAAAGUCUGAUGGAGCAACGCCGCGUGAGUGAAGAAGGGUUUCGGCUCGUAAAGCUCUGUUGGUAGUGAAGAAAGAUAGAGGUAGUAACUGGCCUUUAUUUGACGGUAAUUACUUAGAAAGUCACGGCUAACUACGUGCCAGCAGCCGCGGUAAUACGUAGGUGGCAAGCGUUGUCCGGAUUUAUUGGGCGUAAAGCGAGUGCAGGCGGUUCAAUAAGUCUGAUGUGAAAGCCUUCGGCUCAACCGGAGAAUUGCAUCAGAAACUGUUGAACUUGAGUGCAGAAGAGGAGAGUGGAACUCCAUGUGUAGCGGUGGAAUGCGUAGAUAUAUGGAAGAACGCCAGUGGCGAAGGCGGCUCUCUGGUCUGCAACUGACGCUGAGGCUCGAAAGCAUGGGUAGCGAACAGGAUUAGAUACCCUGGUAGUCCAUGCCGUAAACGAUGAGUGCUAAGUGUUGGGAGGUUUCCGCCUCUCAGUGCUGCAGCUAAACGCAUUAAGCACUCCGCCUGGGGAGUACGACCGCAAGGUUGAAACUCAAAGGAAUGGACGGGGGCCCGCACAAGCGGAGGAACAUGUGGUUUAAUUCGAUGAUACGCGAGGAACCUUACCCGGGCUCAAACGGGGAGUGACUCAGGCAGAGACGCCUGUUUCCCACGGGACACUCCCCGAGGUGCUGCAUGGUUGUCGUCAGCUCGCGCCGUGAGGUGUCGGCUUAAGUGCCAUAACGAGCGCAACCCCCGCGUGCAGUUGCUAACAGAUAACGCUGAGGACUCUGCACGGACUGCCGGCGCAAGCCGCGAGGAAGGCGGGGAUGACGUCAAAUCAGCACGGCCCUUACGUCCGGAGCGACACACGUGUUACAAUGGCCGGUACAGCGGGAAGCCAGGCGGCGACGCCGGGCGGAACCCGAAAGUCGGUCUCAGUUCGGAUCGGAGUCUGCAACCCGACUCCGUGAAGCUGGAUUCGCUAGUAAUCGCGCAUCAGCCAUGGCGCGGUGAAUACGUUCCCGGGCCUUGCACACAAAGGCCGUCA
rnacentral:rRNA from 1 species